rnacentral:rRNA from 1 species
ACGUAGGGUGCGAGCGUUGUCUGGAAUUAUUGGGCGUAAAGGGCUCGUAGGCGGUUUGUCGCGUCGGGAGUGAAAACUCAGGGCUUAACCCUGAGCCUGCUUCCGAUACGGGCAGACUAGAGGUAUGCAGGGGAGAACGGAAUUCCUGGUGUAGCGGUGAAAUGCGCAGAUAUCUGGAGGAACACCGGUGGCGAAGGCGAGUCUCUGGACAUUUCCUGACGCUGAGGCACGAAAGCCAGGGGAGCAAACGGGA